GCUAAGGUGGCAGAUUAGUGCUUUAGAUUUAAGCUCUAAAUAAAAAGUUUAAUAACUUUUCUUAGCU
rnacentral:tRNA from 1 species